CUUUUCUUUUUUCCCUAUUCUCCUCCUAGUUCCUGACCAGGCAAGAUCUUGCGCUAGGUUCCUUGUUCCAUGCUAGCGGCGGCGCUUUCCUCUGCUUGCGUCAUCACGCAUCCCAGCCGUCGAGCACCAGACGGUGGCCCUCUCAGCGCCAGACGACGCCCUCGCAACUCAGGUGGCAGCAACCUUAUGUGCGGUUGCGCUGCUCUUCCCUGCCCGUGUCAGCGCGUCCCUGUUCGCAACAGCGCUCCCUUCCUAGGUCCUGGUAGCGCCCGACGACGGAGGCUAUCCUCCUGGUCGACAACCCUCCCCAACCCGCGGGCAGUACCUACAAGGAAAACAAUACGUAGAUUGUCUGUUCGUGUGUUCGAUUUUCUUUUUGGACGCAAAUUCUUGUGCGUACAUGCUUCAAAUUCCGCGAGUCAAAAAUAUCUUUGUAGUCUAUCGUACUCGAAUUUGUGUCACAUCUGUUCUUCUAGUUUACUUGUUGAUAUCUGUCUUUUUAUAAAUUACUAGUAGUCUAUCACUUUGUUUUCUAGUUUCAUCUUCGUUGUCCAGUAGUUGAAGAGCUAGCGUAAUGUAGAUCCUACUACUGGUAUGUGAAACAAUUCCAUCAUAGUCAAAUGAGUCAAAAACAAUUCCGUGUGAUAAUUUGCAAUGUGAAACAUAUAUUGCAGUUAUAACCCAAAAAAUGGAAUGUGGCCUAUAAUAAAAAAUAUUUUAGUUUCUAGUAUCUCGAACUGUAAGCUAGAGCUAAGCAAUUGCCAGGAAUGAAAAUGAGUUGAGACUUGUUCUCACCUUGAACUUGUUCCAGCACCAACAUAAAGUAUGGCUGAGAAGGUUGUUUGGGAUAAUGCGACUUUGAAGCACCUGAUUGACAUUUGUAAGGUGGAGAUUUUAGCUGGUAAUAGACAUCAAGGUUGUUUCACUAGAAAUGGUUGGAAGAAUCUAGAGGAGUUUUUUUGCAGGGUCCGGAAUGAAGCUAGUGAAGACACAAUUGAAAAAUAAAUUAGAUAAUAUGGAAAAAGAUUAUACCCAGUUCAUGGAAUUGAAGAAUGCUGCCACUGGAUUAAGAUGGAAUGAAGCAAAUCAAACUGUUGAUUGCGAUAAUACAUGGUGGGAUGAACAUCUUAAGAGAUGCAACAUUUAGCUAUGAACAUGAUAAGUUGAAAGAAGAUCAUUUCUGGCCUUAUUUCAAAGAAUUUACUUGCGAUAUGUGACUUUGGCAUGAGGUUUACGUUUGUGGUUGCUGGAUGGACGGGUUCUGCACAUGACACACGGAUCCUUAGUCAUACAUUGGCAACAUUUUCUUCUUUUCCCGUCCCUCUUAAAGAUAAGUACUACCUUGUGGACUCCGGAUAUCCAAACCGAACUGGAUACCUUGCACCUUUCAAGGGAACUACGUACCAUAUACCGGAAUUUCGCCAUCGCCGUGGAUGUCCACCGCAAGGGAAGGAUGAGACAUUCAACUUCUUGCACUACUCUCUCUGCAAUGUCAUUGAGCGAGCAUUUAGGGUCCUCAAGCAAAAAAUGACACAUAUUGAAAAACAUGCCGAAUUUCUCAGUUGAACGACAGAAAGAGAUCAUUAUAGCAUUGUCGGUGUUUGG